AGCGUACACGGUGGAUGCCCUGGCAGUCAGAGGCGAUGAAGGACGUGCUAAUCUGCGAUAAGCGUCGGUAAGGUGAUAUGAACCGUUAUAACCGGCGAUUUCCGAAUGGGGAAACCCAGUGUGUUUCGACACACUAUCAUUAACUGAAUCCAUAGGUUAAUGAGGCGAACCGGGGGAACUGAAACAUCUAAGUACCCCGAGGAAAAGAAAUCAACCGAGAUUCCCCCAGUAGCGGCGAGCGAACGGGGAGCAGCCCAGAGCCUGAAUCAGUGUGUGUGUUAGUGGAAGCGUCUGGAAAGGCGCGCGAUACAGGGUGACAGCCCCGUACACAAAAAUGCACAUGCUGUGAGCUCGAUGAGUAGGGCGGGACACGUGGUAUCCUGUCUGAAUAUGGGGGGACCAUCCUCCAAGGCUAAAUACUCCUGACUGACCGAUAGUGAACCAGUACCGUGAGGGAAAGGCGAAAAGAACCCCGGCGAGGGGAGUGAAAAAGAACCUGAAACCGUGUACGUACAAGCAGUGGGAGCACGCUUAGGCGUGUGACUGCGUACCUUUUGUAUAAUGGGUCAGCGACUUAUAUUCUGUAGCAAGGUUAACCGAAUAGGGGAGCCGAAGGGAAACCGAGUCUUAACUGGGCGUUAAGUUGCAGGGUAUAGACCCGAAACCCGGUGAUCUAGCCAUGGGCAGGUUGAAGGUUGGGUAACACUAACUGGAGGACCGAACCGACUAAUGUUGAAAAAUUAGCGGAUGACUUGUGGCUGGGGGUGAAAGGCCAAUCAAACCGGGAGAUAGCUGGUUCUCCCCGAAAGCUAUUUAGGUAGCGCCUCGUGAAUUCAUCUCCGGGGGUAGAGCACUGUUUCGGCAAGGGGGUCAUCCCGACUUACCAACCCGAUGCAAACUGCGAAUACCGGAGAAUGUUAUCACGGGAGACACACGGCGGGUGCUAACGUCCGUCGUGAAGAGGGAAACAACCCAGACCGCCAGCUAAGGUCCCAAAGUCAUGGUUAAGUGGGAAACGAUGUGGGAAGGCCCAGACAGCCAGGAUGUUGGCUUAGAAGCAGCCAUCAUUUAAAGAAAGCGUAAUAGCUCACUGGUCGAGUCGGCCUGCGCGGAAGAUGUAACGGGGCUAAACCAUGCACCGAAGCUGCGGCAGCGACGCUGAUGCGUUGUUGGGUAGGGGAGCGUUCUGUAAGCCUGUGAAGGUGUACUGUGAGGUAUGCUGGAGGUAUCAGAAGUGCGAAUGCUGACAUAAGUAACGAUAAAGCGGGUGAAAAGCCCGCUCGCCGGAAGACCAAGGGUUCCUGUCCAACGUUAAUCGGGGCAGGGUGAGUCGACCCCUAAGGCGAGGCCGAAAGGCGUAGUCGAUGGGAAACAGGUUAAUAUUCCUGUACUUGGUGUUACUGCGAAGGGGGGACGGAGAAGGCUAUGUUGGCCGGGCGACGGUUGUCCCGGUUUAAGCGUGUAGGCUGGUUUUCCAGGCAAAUCCGGAAAAUCAAGGCUGAGGCGUGAUGACGAGGCACUACGGUGCUGAAGCAACAAAUGCCCUGCUUCCAGGAAAAGCCUCUAAGCAUCAGGUAACAUCAAAUCGUACCCCAAACCGACACAGGUGGUCAGGUAGAGAAUACCAAGGCGCUUGAGAGAACUCGGGUGAAGGAACUAGGCAAAAUGGUGCCGUAACUUCGGGAGAAGGCACGCUGAUAUGUAGGUGAAGUCCCUCGCGGAUGGAGCUGAAAUCAGUCGAAGAUACCAGCUGGCUGCAACUGUUUAUUAAAAACACAGCACUGUGCAAACACGAAAGUGGACGUAUACGGUGUGACGCCUGCCCGGUGCCGGAAGGUUAAUUGAUGGGGUCAGCCGCAAGGCGAAGCUCUGAAGCCAAGCCCCAGUAAACGGCGGCCGUAACUAUAACGGUCCUAAGGUAGCGAAAUUCCUUGUCGGGUAAGUUCCGACCUGCACGAAUGGCGUAAUGAUGGCCAGGCUGUCUCCACCCGAGACUCAGUGAAAUUGAACUCGCUGUGAAGAUGCAGUGUACCCGCGGCAAGACGGAAAGACCCCGUGAACCUUUACUAUAGCUUGACACUGAACAUUGAGCCUUGAUGUGUAGGAUAGGUGGGAGGCUUUGAAGUGUGGACGCCAGUCUGCAUGGAGCCGACCUUGAAAUACCACCCUUUAAUGUUUGAUGUUCUAACGUUGACCCGUGAUCCGGGUUGCGGACAGUGUCUGGUGGGUAGUUUGACUGGGGCGGUCUCCUCCUAAAGAGUAACGGAGGAGCACGAAGGUUGGCUAAUCCUGGUCGGACAUCAGGAGGUUAGUGCAAUGGCAUAAGCCAGCUUGACUGCGAGCGUGACGGCGCGAGCAGGUGCGAAAGCAGGUCAUAGUGAUCCGGUGGUUCUGAAUGGAAGGGCCAUCGCUCAACGGAUAAAAGGUACUCCGGGGAUAACAGGCUGAUACCGCCCAAGAGUUCAUAUCGACGGCGGUGUUUGGCACCUCGAUGUCGGCUCAUCACAUCCUGGGGCUGAAGUAGGUCCCAAGGGUAUGGCUGUUCGCCAUUUAAAGUGGUACGCGAGCUGGGUUUAGAACGUCGUGAGACAGUUCGGUCCCUAUCUGCCGUGGGCGCUGGAGAACUGAGGGGGGCUGCUCCUAGUACGAGAGGACCGGAGUGGACGCAUCACUGGUGUUCGGGUUGUCAUGCCAAUGGCACUGCCCGGUAGCUAAAUGCGGAAGAGAUAAGUGCUGAAAGCAUCUAAGCACGAAACUUGCCCCGAGAUGAGUUCUCCCUGACUCCUUGA
rnacentral:rRNA from 1 species